UUCUCCAGUUGCCACUCCAAUGAUGUUUAAUGCAGUUCCUGGGCACCUAACAGUCCAGGCAAACUGGCACCUAGAAGUAAUUAUUUCAGAAGGUAUCUUUUAAAUCAUCAGCACAUCCCUGCCAAGCACUGUCACUUCUACUCAUUGGGUCAUGGAAAAAUGCACAAAACAUAAAUACACAUUACUAAGCAAGAGAAGCCAGUUGGAAAGAGACUGUGCCAUGUGAUUGAAGCUCGAUUACUCUGGAAAAGGUGUGCCUAGCUCGCAGCCACAAAUGGAUCCCACUGCCACUGAGCCGAUCAGAACCAUCCACCCAGCUUGGAGACUUCCCCAGACCUCCCUACGGUUUUAACCCCCCCCACCCCCGCAGUUUCUAGCUGCAUGCAUGGAACGGCCCAGUUUGUGGCCUACCCAUGCCAGAAUGCCUCCUGCCCUUGGGCAGAGGAGGCCUUGGGAGUAGGCCAUAGCUUUCAGCAGGGUCAGAAGCUUUCCCUGGCCGCAGCAGCUGUAAAGCCAUACCUUUGUUAGUAGUUGCGGCUGCAAGGCAGUACACUUUCACCUAAAGCGCAGCUGCCUGUGUGACCUCAGCUCUACCAUCGCCGCUGCCAUCUUGCCUGACCCACCAUUGCCAGAAGCCGCACAGACUAGCUGAAUGCCUGUGCCACCUGCUAGUCAAAGAUACUUAAUGCAUCUGGAGUAGAAAUCAGAUAAAAUCAUG